rnacentral:rRNA from 1 species
AGAGUUUGAUCCUGGCUCAGGGUGUACGCUGGCGGCGUGCUUAACACAUGCAAGUCGAACGAGCCUUCGGGCUAGUGGCGGACGGGUGAGUAACGCGUGAGAAUCUGCCCUCAGGAGGGGGAUAACGGCUGGAAACGGCCGCUAAUACCCCAUAUGCCGCGAGGUGAAAUGAGAAAUCGCCUGAGGAUGAGCUCGCGUCUGAUUGCUAGUUGGUGGGGUAAGAGCCUACCAAGGCAUCGAUCAGUAGCUGGUCUGAGAGGAUGAUCAGCCACACUGGGACUGAGACACGGCCCAGACUCCUACGGGAGGCAGCAGUGGGAAUUUUCCGCAAUGGGCGCAAGCCUGACGGAGCAACGCCGCGUGAGGGAUGAAGGCCUCUGGGCUGUAAACCUCUUUUCUCAAGGAAGAAGAACUGACGGUACUUGAGGAAUAAGCCACGGCUAAUUCCGUGCCAGCAGCCGCGGUAAUACGGGAGUGGCAAGCGUUAUCCGGAAUUAUUGGGCGUAAAGCGUCCGCAGGCGGUCUUGAAAGUCUGUUGUUAAAGCGUGGAGCUCAACUCCAUUUCAGCAAUGGAAACUAGAAGACUAGAGUGUGGUAGGGGCAGAGGGAAUUCCCGGUGUAGCGGUGAAAUGCGUAGAUAUCGGGAAGAACACCAGUGGCGAAGGCGCUCUGCUGGGCCAUAACUGACGCUCAUGGACGAAAGCCAGGGGAGCGAAAGGGAUUAGAUACCCCUGUAGUCCUGGCCGUAAACGAUGAACACUAGGUGUCGGGGGAAUCGACCCCCUCGGUGUCGUAGCCAACGCGUUAAGUGUCCCGCCUGGGGAGUACGCACGCAAGUGUGAAACUCAAAGGAAUUGACGGGGGCCCGCACAAGCGGUGGAGUAUGUGGUUUAAUUCGAUGCAACGCGAAGAACCUUACCAGGGUUUGACAUCCUGCGAAUCUUUUGGAAACAGAAGAGUGCCUUCGGGAGCGCAGAGACAGGUGGUGCAUGGCUGUCGUCAGCUCGUGUCGUGAGAUGUUGGGUUAAGUCCCGCAACGAGCGCAACCCACGUCUUUAGUUGCCAGCAUUGAGUUGGGCACUCUAGAGAGACCGCCGGUGAUAAACCGGAGGAAGGUGUGGAUGACGUCAAGUCAUCAUGCCCCUUACAUCCUGGGCUACACACGUACUACAAUGCUACGGACAGAGGGCAGCAAACUCGCGAGAGCUAGCAAAUCCCAUAAACCGUGGCUCAGUUCAGAUCGUAGGCUGCAACUCGCCUACGUGAAGGAGGAAUCGCUAGUAAUCGCAGGUCAGCAUACUGCGGUGAAUACGUUCCCGGGCCUUGUACACACCGCC